AAAUUUAAUCUCAAAUUAGCCCCUAUGGAGUAAAAGUCUGUGUAAACAGAUGGACUUUGCACCUUGCCGCAAAGGUCAGCUGACGACAGCACUGUGAGUUUGGCAGCAAAUCCCUUAGUCAGAGAAGGACCUUCCCAUAAGAAAAACUUCGUCUUUAUUUCAGUUCUCGUGACAUGAAUGAGACUUGGCUUCCAUCACAAACUUGGCAGUCAGCGAGGCUUCCAGAGGAUUCUAUUAGCAAUGAUGAUGAUGAUGGUUGAGAUGGUGCAAAGCCCUUUAUACUUUUCUGAGGCUCUUUCACAUGCCUUGUGAAAAAUUCUCACCAUUUAACCUUAAAACACCAUCAGAUAAGAAAUGUAUAUAUGCAAAGUAUUUUUUUUUCCAGGAAAAGAAAAUAGAUGUAAUUCAAUCUGGGUUCUUAAAUUUUUCAGAUCUAAAUGAACUUUAAAAUAUGCUUGGAUAUAUCUCUGAGGAAUAUAACCUUAACAUUUUUCAGUGUUCAACCUAGACUAAUAAUAAUAUCAGCAACUCUGGUUUGGGGAUCACAGAACUCACAAACCAUUCACAUCUGGCACAUUUCAUACCCCUUUCCUGAUUCUACUGUAAGAACAGUCAACAGGAAAUAUGUUCACCGUAAAUGACUGUGAGGCAGUGAUGCAUGCUGCAGCUUCAUUCUUCUGGGAGAGUCUGAGUUUCCACCAUAAGAAAAGUCAGAGAUGUAGUUAUUUCCUGUCUUCCUCUUCACUGAAUCCUUGGACAGUACCCAUUUUAUGUUCUUAAGUGAAAAUGCUUUCUUCACUGUGUGUCUGAAAGUGUACGAACUAUUGUUGGAGUGUCAUAUGGGCAUCUCUCUCAUCUCCCAGAUCGAUGGCAUCGUCUAGGACUUCCCACAUAGACAAGAUAAACGAAAGGCUUCCAUGGACAGGCUUCCCUGAAUGCAAACAUCUUUUGGAAUAAGAAGAAAAAAAAUAAUUUAUGGAAAGACUAGGAUUUCUGCCUACCUUCACUUCAGCAGAGGAAUAAAAAUAAUUCAAGAGCCCAU
rnacentral:lncRNA from 1 species